UCAGCAGAGUUUGAAAAAUGCGCUGCGUGCCAUGUUUCUGUAAUCGCGAGGCGGGAGCUUCGCUGAUCAAACGAGAACAGAGGAGCAGCGCGUUUGGAUGAUUAUGAGACUUUAUGUAGUUCAGAUAAUGAAGUAACAAACCAAAGGAAGAGGACAGCAGCUUUGCUGUGUCAGUCAUGGUACAUACAGGAACAUUCUUCAUGAAGAUGUGCGAGAGAAGCUUGCAAGGCAAGAUGAGGGAAACAAAUUAAAGUGUCAGUGAAGAUGGUGUGAUCAGGAAAUCUGGUGUUUGUAGGAAAUCUGAAGGAACAUCUCGCAGUAUUCUAUACGAUGUUGCCCUGAUGACUGAGGAAUUUUUUUCUGACUUUUCUGCCUCUUUGGAACAUUUCCGUUCACAGAGACUGUGGAGAGAUGGUGUGCAGCUUCAUGACAUUUGAAGUUUACUACUGAUGGAGAGCUUCUGGGACACUGACAGACCGCACUUUCCAGCAAGUUCAUUUGGAGUUCUUCUUUUUUUUUUUUUUUUUAAUUAUUAUUAAUUAAUUAAUUAAUUUAGUCAAACUUGCAUUCACUAAUGCUGGAGUAAGAUUUUGGAAGAAACCUUUCGGUCCUGUUUAAUGUUGGUGCUAGUAAAGGUUUGAUAAUUUAUGGCCUGGUUUCACAAACAGGUCUUUGACUAAGCCAACACUGAUAAAAAUGAUUUUUUUGGUGAAGUAAACACUACAUGAAAACAAAUGUAAUUUCUACAUUAAAUAAUUUAGUUCAGGCAAGAAUAAAAAAAAAAAAGUAAAUUCUAUAUCAGUACUCAAUUUAAGCUUGUAGAAAUUAAAGUUUGAACUUAUAAGUAUAUUUUACUUGGAAUUGUUUAUGUUUACAAGGAUUCUUUAAGUAAAUAUCAAAGUUAUGAUCCCAUCAUGCACUGGGGCAUGAAUAAUUAAAAAGGUUAAAUUUGUCACUGUUUUUUAGUUAUAUUUACACUGUUUUAUGGUUGCUUUUGUUGUUAGGUUUAGUAACUUACUGUUUUGUGACAUCUGGAGUUGAUUUUCUACUCAAAAUGACGCAUUCUUACUCAAACACUAUCCACUGAUUGUCACCGUCAUUGUGUAUGGUGUACCAAGUAUUGAGGUCUCUGUGUUCAUUUGGGUAACAAUUCUUAUGAGUGGACAUAUUAUCUUAAAAGGAUAACAAGCUGUCUACUUGCUUGCUUACAUGUUUGUAAGUGAAUCACAUGCUUUAAUAGCAUGGUUGUUUCCCAGUACUACAUCGUUUGAGUAAAUUUUAGAAGCCAUGACUGAGUGAAAAAUACUUAAGUAUUGCAGAUUUAACAUAAAAUAAUCAAGUAAAAAUUACUCCUCAAACUCUAACUUUUACUUAAUUCAGUACUUACAUUUUACUUAAUUUUUAUUUGUUAAGUUUUUUUUGCACAAAUAAAUUAAGUAAA